rnacentral:rRNA from 1 species
UACAGAGGGGGCUAGCGUUAUUCGGAAUUAUUGGGCGUAAAGGGUGCGUAGGCGGCGCGGUAAGUCGGGUGUGAAAUCUUGGAGCUUAACUCCGAAACUGCAUUCGAUACUGCCGUGCUUGAGGACUGGAGAGGAGACUGGAAUUUACGGUGUAGCGGUGAAAUGCGUAGAUAUCGUAAGGAAGACCAGUGGCGAAGGCGGGUCUCUGGACAGUUCCUGACGCUGAGGCACGAAGGCCAGGGGAGCAAACGGG